AAGAUGAUCUUUCCCCUGUCACAGCUCACCACGAACAGGAAACCAUCUGCAGCCUAGGCAGCAAAUAAACACAAGAUGGAGAGCUUGCCAGUGUGCAAGAAAACAUAUUUACCAUGUGCCACCAGUUUCUAAUCAUAGUCUCUAAUCAUAGGCUAUUCUAUACUACUAUUCUACACAAAGGCUGGCAGUCUUCGUCACUUUAACACUAAACAAUAUGUCAUGAAUACAAUGGUCUGUUGGUGAAAAAAGAUAAUUUGCAAGUACCAGCUGAAAAAAGAGGAAUGUAAAGAGACCUUUAAGGUCACAAGUGCUCUGUAAUUGUAGCUAAAUUAAAGAUUUGCAAUUGGAGAAUAAAUGGGAAGGGUGUACUUGCACUAAAGGCAAAGAUUGAAAGGUGAUGGCCUCUAUUGUUGGAAUUUGAAAAUGUUGAGAAGGACAGGUCUUAGUUUAGAAAUACCAAGGCAUACCGGUCACAUACCCUCAUCAAGGAUUAUAGGUCAAAGUAAAAAGGUCGCUUAACAGCAAACAAGAGAGGGACAAGUGGGAAGAACAAACAAAGAUUGCUAGAAGGGAUUCUGGGAUGACGAUAACAAUUUGGUGCGAACUACACAUCCAGACUCACUGAACAUCACAGAAGUCAUAGAAGUUGUCGGCAGACAAUUAAUGGAAGGGUAAACGAUCGGUAUACCCAGAAGUAAUAUUAAUUAAUGAUUGGUUAAGAUUAGUCACCUGACCUGAUCCAUUUCCAAUUAAAGAAAAAUUAAUGCAUGAUUGGUUAAUACCAGGAGCUUUACUUUUUUGUUGAGUAACGGUGUCGAUUGCCUGAUUUUUAAAGGAUCGUAUUUUGUUUUGUAUGUUUUGCAUUGCGCAAAUCUCACGGUCGAUAAGUACAGACACUUUAUUACAUGAGCAGCAAGAUGCCUGGACGUUGAAGGCAGAAAUGAAGGCUUGGGAUGGGCUUCAGAAAAAGAACUUGUAGUCCCUGAAAGAGAUGAUGGCAACGCAACAUGAAAACACAGUCAGCUGCUCCUGGAUCUCUUCUUCUCCUCCACCGACAUCAAAGAGGUGGAGAAGGACCCUGUGAACCCCUCCCCCCUAGCACACUUACAAGCUCCUGCCCUUCCCCUUCCGUUUCCGUGACAAGUCCAUACAGGAGAUGGAGGAGGAGGAGGAGGAGGAGGAAGGGGCAGCUGGCUC